GUGUUUUUCCAAAGCCUUCCAACAGCAACAUGAAGUUGGCAGCCUUCCUCCUCCUUGUGAUCCUCAUCAUCUUCAGCCUAGAGGUACAAGAGCUUCAGGCUGCAGGAGACCGGCUUUUGGGGGCCCCUUUUUACAGAUGAGAAAAGUUCCAGAAAGACCCAGAGACAUAAUCAGGUACCUGCGUCGAGCUCUGCACAGGUGACUGGGACUGCAACCCGGGAGACCACUGUGUCAGCAAUGGGUGUGGCCAUGAGUGUGUUGCAGGGUAAGGACAGAUGAAGAGUUAUCUUAAGGAUCAUCUUUCUCUAAGAUCGUCAUCCCUUCCUGGAGUUCCUAUCUUCCAAGAUGUGACUGUCUGGAGUUCCUUGACUAGGAAGAUGGAUGAAAACAGCGAGCCUGUGGAUGGAGACUACAGGGGAUAUGGGAGGCAGGGAAGAGGGGUUGUUUCUUUUAAUAAAUCAUCAUUGUUAAAAGC
rnacentral:lncRNA from 1 species